UACGUAGGGUCCGAGCGUUGUCCGGAAUUAUUGGGCGUAAAGGGCUCGUAGGCGGUUUGUCGCGUCGGGAGUGAAAACUCAGGGCUCAACCCUGAGCGUGCUUCCGAUACGGGCAGACUAGAGGUAUGCAGGGGAGAACGGAAUUCCUGGUGUAGCGGUGGAAUGCGCAGAUAUCAGGAGGAACACCGGUGGCGAAGGCGGUUCUCUGGGCAUUACCUGACGCUGAGGAGCGAAAGCAUGGGGGAGCGAACAGG
rnacentral:rRNA from 1 species